CAGCGCAGAAAUGUCACCGCCUGCCAGGGAGACACUUGGGGCAAAUGCAGGGGCGAUUAGAUCUGUGUCACUGCCUGCUGCCCGGCUCCUCACACAGCUCCCGUGCUGCUCUCCCGGCCGUUUGGUGGUGGCUUGGCAGAGGAGGUUAUCUCGUACAAGCUGCUGUCCAGAAACUGCCACCGUUUGAAGGUUACCAACAGCAGUUUCCCUGGAGAAAGUCUCUGCUGGAAGUGGUUGGGGUUGGCCGUUCAUAAUCUAGCAAUCAGAAGGACACUUGGAAACCAAAUGGGCAGCUUUGGUUAUGGCAGUGAAUGGGUGAUGGCCUCAAAACACAGGCCACUGUACAGUCCAUGGGGUGGGCAGCAGCUGGGGGUCCUACUCCCUCCAUUCCCAAACCAGGAAAUGCUGUAGUGACACCUCUGAGUGCCAUUAGGUUUGCUUUGGAGCCCACCACCAAGAAGACUGGGAUGGGUCAUUGUGACCAGGGGCACCCAAAGCUCAUUUCUUGGACCACCUGCUGGAGAGCAGAUGAGCACAGCUUCAAGGUGGUUUGCCUCUUCCCAGAUGGUGGCUGAAAUGUCUGACAAUCAGGAUUUUUCAGUAACAAAAAGGUGUUUUUAAACCACUGUCCUCUGAAGGGCUGGCUGUGCUGGAGCUGGAGAGGAGGACAGCAGGAGUCUGAGCUUCCAGACCUGAGUCCACCAGCGGUGCCAGGGUGGUGGCACUGGCAUCUGCACAACCUGCACCCAGCCUCCUUCUGCGGAUAUGAAAGGAUACCAUGAGGGUAUGAAAGGAUAUUCUUGCAGUGGUUGAUUUUAUUGGCAAACAGAGAGAAAGAAUAAGUGGAAUGUCCAAAGGAAGCUGAAAGGUAAAAGUAGCAGGAGUAGGGAUCCUUACCAGCAUCACUUUGACUGAGUCUGACAUCAGGGUCACAUAAGAUUUCAGCACAUCGUAGUGAAAGGCUGGGGUGAGCAUCUUCCUGUGCUGGAACCAUUUGCUUCCUUCCAAGACCAGCAGCCCCUUCCCUGAAGCACAAAGAGCAAAGGCACAAUCAGUUCCUGCAGGCUCUGAUCACAGCUCUGACAGCCUUACUACUGCUUUUGGCUUACCAAUCCAGGGAACUAGGAGUUUGUAGACUGCACUAGCCUUGGGAUCUGUAAAAGGGAACAAAUAUCAGAAAUGUAUGAAUAACUGAUGAAUUCAACACAACAAAAGAGAAAAUUGCCAUUUGCCAAUGCCUUCUUGCCAUUGCCAUGACAACUCACACUUUUUACUGGGUUUACUGGGAAGAACAAAUAUUGUGGUGGUAGAAGCCAAAGAAGACAGUAAGACAAAUGACCUUCAAACUGGGAACUGACAGGAAACUGGAAGGAACAGACAUCUGGUUUCUGUUUUGCAAUGGGAUACACACUGCUCCAUGAAACCUGGGACAGCCUGGGAGUUUGUGAAGAGAAGCAAAAGAAGAAUUGCAAUAGCUAUGAAGGAAGCUGGCAGAGGGAAUAACUCCAGGCAAGUUUUCCAAUAUUUUCUUGAUAGGAAAUGUCAAAGAUUUCUCAAAACUGGAGGCAGAGACUCACCUGCUCG